AAAGACUAAUCGAACCAUGUAGUAGUUGGUUCCCUCCGAAGUUUCCCUCAGGAUAGCUAGAGUCUUUAUCAGUUUUGUCAGGUAAAGCGAAUGAUUAGAGGUUCCGGGGAAGUAACUUCCUCGACCUAUUCUCAAACUUUAAAUGGGCAAGAUCCAGUAGUUACUUAAUUGAACUAUUGGGGUCAAUGAGACGACUCUAAGUGGGCCAUUUUUGGUAAGCAGAACUGGCGAUGAGGGAUGAACCUAACGCUCGGUUAAGGUGCUAAACUGCUCGCUCAUCAGAUACCACAAAGGGUGUUGGUCGAUCUUAACAGCAGGACGGUGGUCAUGGAAGUCGAAAUCCGUUAAGGAGUGUGUAACAACUCACCUGCCGAAUCGACUAGCCCCGAAAAUGGAUAGCGCUGAAGCGAGUGACCGAUACCGGGCCAUUGUUGCAAGAUAAUUGGCAACAAUGAGUAGGAGGGCGUGGGGGUUGUGAAGAAGCUUGGACGUGAGUAUGAGUGAAACAGCUUCCAGUGCAGAUCUUGGUGGUAGUAGCAAGUAUUCAAUAAGAGAACAUUGAAGGCCGAAGUGGGGAAGGGUUCCAUGUGAACAGCACUUGGACAUGGGUUAGCCGAUCCUGAGAGACAGGUUAAAUUC
rnacentral:ncRNA from 1 species